rnacentral:lncRNA from 1 species
CUUGCAGUGCACGUUUCAUCUUGCACUGAAGUUCUCAUGGCAGCUUUAUGUCUUCAUGCUCCAGGCUAGAGCUAAUUCAGCACAAAUCUAGAACAGCUGAUGUUGAUGGCUGAUCUUGAAUAAGGUUCUACUGGAAUAGGGACUUGGAAAUGAAAAUUGCUGGUUGGGAGAUCUUAAACCACUUCAGGAGUUUGAAUUGAAAACAUUUCUAAUCAAACACUAAGUGCCCUAGAACUCUGUUGAUUACUGCCUGGAACCACCAGCUGAAGAGUUCAUCACAGCUGCAUCACAUCUUUACUCCCUGCUCUCCUUCCCUUGAAAGUGUAUGUUGUAUGGGAGAAUAGGCAACAAUGUAUCUGUCAGGCUGCUUGAGCUGACUAAUGUAGUAUUCCAGGCGAUAAGGAACACAUGCAGAUAUUUUUUUCCUAUUGAUUAGAGAGCUAUUCAAUGUUUAUGAAGUGGAGGCGUGAAGUAAAGAUACAGAAUUUUCUCAAGUGGAUUUGAUUCCCAUCUUAUCACUGAUGUAAAAUCAGGAGCUUCUCUACUGAAGAUGAAUCACUUAUGCUGUGUAGAGGAAAUGAAGGUUUUAUUGGAACAAGACCAGUGUAAUAGUCCAACAGCAGACCAUUAUACCAAAGUAACUUGCUUGAUGCCAGCCUGUGAG